UGGGGAAUUUUCCGCAAUGGGCGAAAGCCUGACGGAGCAACGCCGCGUGAGGGAUGAAGGCCUCUGGGCUGUAAACCUCUUUUCUCAAGGAAGAAGACCUGACGGUACUUGAGGAAUAAGCCACGGCUAAUUCCGUGCCAGCAGCCGCGGUAAUACGGGAGUGGCAAGCGUUCUCCGGAAUUACUGGGCGUAAAGCAUGCGCAGGCGGUUAUAUAAGACAGAUGUGAAAUCCCCGGGCUCAACCUGGGACCUGCAUUUGGGACUGUAUAGCUAGAGUACGGUAGAGGGGGAUGGAAUUCCGCGUGUAGCAGUGAAAUGCGUAGAUAUGCGGAGGAACACCGAUGGCGAAGGCAAUCCCCUGGACCUGUACUGACGCUCAUGCACGAAAGCGUGGGGAGCAAACA
rnacentral:rRNA from 1 species